GCUGGGCACAGUGGCGCAUGCCUGUAAUCCCAGUGGCUUGGGAGGCUGAGGCAGGAGGAUCGGACGGAGUUCAAAGCCAGCCUCAGCAAAGUCGAGGCAUAAAGCAACUCAGUGAGACCCUGUCUCUA
rnacentral:sRNA from 1 species